rnacentral:rRNA from 1 species
CCUACGGGUGGCAGCAGUGAGGAAUAUUGGUCAAUGGACAAGAGUCUGAACCAGCCAAGUAGCGUGAAGGAUGACUGCCCUAUGGGUUGUAAACUUCUUUUAUAUGGGAAUAAAAUGUUCCACGUGUGGGAUUUUGUAUGUACCAUAUGAAUAAGGAUCGGCUAACUCCGAGCCAGCAGCCGCGGUAAUACGGAGGAUCCGAGCGUUAUCCGGAUUUAUUGGGUUUAAAGGGAGCGUAGGUGGAUUGUUAAGUCAGUUGUGAAAGUUUGCGGCUCAACCGUAAAAUUGCAGUUGAAACUGGCAGUCUUGAGUACAGUAGAGGUGGGCGGAAGUCGUGGUGUAGCGGUGAAAUGCUUAGAUAUCACGAAGAACUCCGAUUGCGAAGGCAGUUCACUGGACUGCAACUGACACUGAGGCUCGAAAGUGUGGGUAUCAAACAGGAUUAGAUACCCCAGUAGUC